rnacentral:piRNA from 1 species
UCACUGGUGGUCUAUAUGUUUUAGUUGAG